rnacentral:rRNA from 1 species
UACGUAAGGACCGAGCGUUGUCCGGAAUCAUUGGGCGUAAAGGGUACGUAGGCGGUUAUAAAAGUUAGAAGUAAAAGGCUAUAGCUUAACUAUAGGAAGCUUUGAAAACUGUUUAACUUGAGAGAUGGAAGGGAAAGUGGAAUUCCUAGUGUAGCGGUGAAAUGCGCAGAUAUUAGGAGGAAUACCGGUGGCGAAGGCGACUUACUGGACAUAAACUGACGCUGAGGUACGAAAGCGUGGGUAGCAAACAGG